CAAUAGCGUAUAUUAAAGCUGUUGCGGUUAAAAAGCUCGUAGUUGGAUUUCUGUCAAGUACAACUGGUCCGCCCUCCGGGUAAGCACAUAGUUUGGUCUUGGCAUCUUGCUGGAAAUUGUUGCUGCACUUGGCUGUGUGGCGCAGUGUCCAGCACUUUCACUUUGAGGAAAUUGGAGUGUUUCAAGCAGGCAAUGCCUUUGAACACAGUAGCAUGGAAUAAUUAGAUUGGGCUUUUGCUCCAAUUUGUCGGUUUCUGGAGCUGAGGUGAGAAUUAAUGGGGAUUGUUGGGGGCAUCCGAAUUUAGCCGUCAGAGGUGAAAUUCUUGGAUCGGCUAAAGACGGACAACUGCGAAAGCGUUUGCCCAGGAUGUUUUCAUUG
rnacentral:rRNA from 1 species